AAAGCGUGGUAAUGUUUUGCCAAUGCCUGGUUUACACAGACUCAAAAUCAUAGAUAUAAGAGGUUUGGUCUUAACAGUGUGUGGUGUACAGCCACACAGCAAAAACACAUCACACAAACAGAUUUCACUCACCAACAUUCCAACUUCAAACAGGAAAUCUGGCAAAACUUCUCGAGAUCAAACAUGAGUUCAGAGUAAAUAAACGGCCAAAGAGGAAGAUGUAAUGGUGACAUUAGACCUUUUGCCAAAUUAUGUCAUCACGCAAAGCACGCAUGAAACAAACGUUUUGAUUGGAUGCCGAAAUGCUGACUCCUCCCAUAUACGGAAGCGGGGGGGAAAGACCUUGUUGAUGACAUAGAUAUGAAGGCGAGUUUUAAUGUUGAUGCAUGGUUUUGGAAAAUUGUGGACAACCAAUGGACAAAAUCCCUGAUAAGUGUGCCGCGGAUCCGACUAAUUGUGAGUCAACAGUCAAGGGGGGCCACCAUGUCAAAAAAAACAGUCCCCGAAAAAAGGACAUUGAAGUCGGCGAGAGCAUGCCCAGCAGGGUGUCAUUUAAGACAUGAGGUCGGCGUGGAGAAGGUCUUCUGGAAAAAGUUGAACAGCAUAGCUUUUGACCCACGACGUCCUGACGACCGGAAUGAAAACACCACUGCUGAUCUUCAUAAGGACAUUUGGAGCGUGGAACCUUCUUUGCCAUUUUUCAAUAUGUCGUGCCUCUGGUUGCCGUGCCAGAUCCUGACCCUCAACCAGAUGACGCAGCUGACGACCUAGGCCCGCAUCCAGUCUCC